AUUGAACGCUGGCGGCAUGCUUUACACAUGCAAGUCGAACGGUAACAGGCCGCAAGGUGCUGACGAGUGGCGAACGGGUGAGUAAUGCAUCGGAACGUGCCCAGUCGUGGGGGAUAACUACUCGAAAGAGUAGCUAAUACCGCAUACGAUCUAUGGAUGAAAGCGGGGGACCGUAAGGCCUCGCGCGAUUGGAGCGGCCGAUGUCAGAUUAGGUAGUUGGUGGGGUAAAGGCUCACCAAGCCAACGAUCUGUAGCUGGUCUGAGAGGACAACCAGCCACAACUGGACUGGGACCACGCCCAGACCCCCUAGGGAGGCAGCAGUGGGGAAUUUUGGACAAUGGGCGCAAGCCUGAUCCAGCAAUGCCGCGUGCAGGAAGAAGGCCUUCGGGUUGUAAACUGCUUUUGUACGGAACGAAACGGCUCUGGUUAAUACCCGGGGCUAAUGACGGUACCGUAAGAAUAAGCACCGGCUAGCUACGUG
rnacentral:rRNA from 1 species